CAUUCCUGUGCCGUGCAGGUCGGAGGGGCUGCCAGCCCCGAGGCCUCCGGGAAUGUUCCUCAGCUGCAAAGGGGGAAGAUUAUCUACAGGGGGAGUUGGUUAAAAGCACAAACCUGAGGUGUCCCUGGAGUCAGUGUCAAUCUCCUGCAGAAGGAUGGCGUGUUCCAGCCUUGGACUUCUCCAUCUGGAGACCUCCAGGCCUUGGCCCCUUGGCUUUUUCCCUCACACCAGUCCAAGUGGAAGGUGUUUUGGAAAUGCCAGCCUUGCUAUUCCGUGCUCCCUCUGUUCAACACAGCGCCUUCCACUCUCCAGGAGUUCUAGGAGUUUUUCAGGGAGUAAAAGCAGUGGAUUAACAGAGUUCACCCCUGCCCCCUCUUCUCCCCUCAGCCAUGAUCAGGGGUCCCGUUUCCAGGAGCAGGAUGGCUGAAUUUGUUUUAAUUGAAGCAUGAGGAGCACAGUUGGGAGAGGAUGGGGAGUAGGAGGAUGUGUCUGCUCAGGAGGGGCAGUGGCAAAUCUUAGUGAAUGUGGAGGGGGUGGUUGAGGGAUCCUCUGGAUCAGGAUCAGCAGGAGGAGUUCUAUUUGCUUUAUGUAUUUAUUUAUUUAUUUAUUUCUUGAAUUUGAAGGGUUUUUUACAUUGCUUCAGGAUUAGGACUGGAGAACAGGUGUUGCCUAAUGGGUGAGCCAGUAUGUGUUGCUCUGUUGGAUAAGUGACUAUUUUUAGAUCCUGGAAGUCUCCUCCUGGAGGCUCCAUUUUUGGUGUGGAUUGCCAACAGCCUGUGCCCUCAGCUUGGCACAGCUGGUAGGAGCUGUCAGGAUAUGCUGGACAAAACGAUUUCUCCAGACUUGGAAAAAGCGUUUCCUAGGUCUUCACCAAAUGGUGAACUGUUUGCAAAUUUCCACUUUCCCACUGCAGCCACUUGGAGUGAAAGAAAUUAGCAGAGUUUAGUACAUUUCCCCGUGGAAUUUCUCUUAAAUACCUAUGGAUUUCCAGAGCUGGAGGCUGAGUCUGCACAGUCACUCCCUCUCACCACCACUGCACAAGAACUCGUCAGGACAACAUGGGAUGGGCUGCUCUUCAUGUGCAUUUAAGGAAAAGUCAAUUAAAAAAAAAAAAAGGAGAGAAUCGAAGCCUGGUUCAGGAGACAUACUGCUGAAAAAUCUCCUGGGAUAUGGUCUGUAAGAAGGUUCUGCCUUCAUUGCAGCAAGAACUGAAGGAACCUCAAACCAUGAGCAACUCCAGCUUUUUCUGUCCUGUUUAUCCAUCCCUUUGUUCCCCUCUAGGGCUCUGCUUUCCCACAUGGAUAUAUUGCUAAUAAACAGUGUUGCAUC